AUCGUCUGCUCCUGGACGCCGUUCUCAAACCUCGUGUUCGACUGCAAAGAGCAGGAGUUCAGCAAGGUACAAAAAUCACAGAAUUCCGGCCUGUUUUCUCUCCCUCAACCCAAAUCUGACAUCGGCCAUGCAGAAGUUCAUAGAUGCCAAUACAAGUGCGUCAUCCGGCAGCUGUCUUGACUGCAGCUCAUCCUGCUCUGCUGCCUCCCCCCUUUUCUGCUUCCUGUUGACUGCGCCAUCUGAGAGAGUGAGGUCUUGUUUCUCUUUUUUGCUUGCUUCCUGUAUAAAAAAAAAACAACAACAUUUUGUUGUUGUUUUUUGCAAGCACAAGUGGUCAAGGUUACUGUCAGGCCGGCCCUAGUCUUAAGCAAGCUAUGCUGGAGUCAAAAAAUGUAUCGAUAAUUUGACAAUUGUGCCUUGAGACCUCAGCUCGCCUGAGAUCAACCCGUGAGGAGGGGAGGAGUCUGGUGUACGCAUGCGCAGAACGCCAUGUGGCCACCACAGAGGAAGAAAAGGCGGAAGUCAAGAACACAGCAGACUGGAGCGUUGUGUCAAAAUGUGCAAAGUUAGAAUGCUCAGAACGUUGGUGAAGCAGCGCCUAAAUGUGGCCGUCGAAGAAAUACUCCAACUGUUUGAGAGGACGAUCGCGGAGUACGAGGUGGAACUUUCUCGAACGAAAGCGGAGAAGGAACGGCAAGGCCAACAACUACUGGACGCUGUUCUCAAGCCUCACCUUCCGUUACGCGCAGCGGAAAUGCAGCAGAUGUCGCUGGUGAGUGGCGAUGAGGUAACCUCCGAGGGGCAGGGGGAGCCGGCGGAGCCCCACCGCGUUAAAGAGGAAGAGGAGGACGUGUGGAGGAGUCAGAAAGGGGAGCAGCUUCGAGGGCUGAAGGAGGAGGCUGACGUCAACGCGUUCACGUUGGCGGGUGGCCACGAGGAGAAGGACGUCGAUGAAGCUCGGUCCCCACAGCGUCGUGACCUUCAAAGUGUUAAAUUCGGUCAACACACCACAACAGAAGCUUAUGGAGAUCACUGCGGAGGAUCACAACCGGACAACUUCGCUCCGCUACAAGAUGUGGACGAUGUGGCGUCAAAGUCUCAUCGCAGCGACCGUGCCGAAGAUACUUUGAAGACUAACAAGAAUUCUAAAGAUACGGAGGAGGAUCUACUUGUGUUCUUGCGGCAACGCAAUAUUUCUAGUGAGCUUCUCUCUCAAAUGGAGCGAGACAAGAUCGACUCGUCCGUGAUUCUUCUCAUGUCGGAUGAAGAGCUUCAGAAGUACAUCCCCCGUUACGGUGACAGGAUAGCAGUCGUCGCCUUCUGCCGAAAUCCAACUUCAGAGGCGAGGAGGAAGGUUUUCGUGGACAGGCGACCCACACCGCCCUCUUGCAGUCGGGGAAGCUAUUUAUUUGGCAACGGAAAUGGCAAGAGAGCAAAAAGACGACUGGAAUUAGGAUGGAUGAAUUUUGACUGGAAAGAAAAGAGAUUCAAACAAGUGAGGUCCGGUAGAGGCGGCGGCACAAAGUCCCUGUGCAUUGAAAAAAGCAAGACGGUGCAAGAAAUUCAAAUGAUGGCAGAGGGCAUUUUCUUCCCCGACGGUCAACUCUCCGACUAUCAAACGCGAAUAACGGACUUUGCAGAGCACCAGCUUGACUCCGCCAGCACACUGGAGGAAGUUUACGAGAUCACCCAAGCUCGAAUCCUCCGACUCUAUCUCUGCACAAAGCUACGCGGUCAAGAAGCGAUACAGUGGAACCUCGAUUUAGGAACCUAAUCCGCGAUAUGCGGAACGUCACAUGACCCAACGCGGAACACGGGAUAGCUGACUUCCAGUGUAUGCUACGCUAAAAAGCAUAACUAGGAUUGAUGACAUGAUUGUUUGAUGCCGAGCUAAAAUAGUUUUUUUUUUUCUGGCUGGUGUCUUCGGACAAAAGUUAAAUACAUGAAUAUUGUUUAUUUAUACAAAUAGGAUAUGCAAACAUUGUCACGUCACGGGACCCUCUGGUGCGUUCACAGCUAGUCGGAAAUCACAAAAUCCCUUAAUUUAACAACCUUUUUUUUUUUUUUACAAAAUCCACUUUACCUUGACUUCUUGGCUUGCGCCGUCUUUUCUUGACAACAAGUCGGCACACAAGUGACUCGCCUUCUCGCAAACGCUAUCACUCGCUAGCUGUUUGCAGCUUUUCCACUUUGUCCAGAGGUUUUCUCUCGGUCCUUUCAAAGAUACUUCACUCUCUUGGGCACGUCAGCAGCAACAAAAACGUCCGUGCCCCCUCACAAUAGUGGCAAUUGUGGACUUGUUUCCACCAACCAAGCUUAGCAACGCCUGCGCCAUUGAUAUACUUCUCACAAAUUUGUUUUAAGUCCACAGUGAGUCCCUUCCUCUUACCACGCAGGUCUAUUGCUUUUCUUGGGCUAGCAAAACAGAAAAACACCAAAAAGCAGCAGUUCGGCAAAAAUUCUUCUGGGGGGGGGGGAAGCAAGAGGCUUCAAGUUGUUCACUGUCAAUUCCAGUUGAAGUUUACUGUUAAACUAAAUAUCCAAGAAUUGUGUACUUAAAACCACAACUUUUCCUUUAAGUCUGCUAUUCUAGGCAUAGAUUUGUUACACUCUGCAAAAAGAAAAUGACAAUACGGCAGCCCCUCGAGUCACUCGCUUAUAGUUGAAACUCUUCUUCAUUUGUGUGUACUACAUGACUAUUAUAGUGCCCUCCGGUGGCCAAGUCGAACACAAUUCUUUACAUUCCAUGUAAUUAUUACUAUACGUUUCUAAAGUAGAUAUAGAGUGCUAUUUUCCAGAUUUAAAAAAAACAUUGUUUUGGGGGGAGGCUGGAACGGAUUAAACAUGCAAGCGCCACAGAUAAUUUUUUUUCAGUAUUUGCUUGUGGCCAAUGUGUUCUUGUAAUUUCAGGUUCAAAUAUGUUGAUUUGAUAAAACGUUUCCAGGUUUCGUUGCUACAUUGAUAGAAAGAAUAAAUAAAGCACCAAACAUAUUUUUUUCCCCCACAAAAUUGAGUCCAUGGAACUGUGUGCUGUGCAAACACUUUUUAUUCACAAGAUAGCAGACAGAACAAAAAAAACAGCCAGCGACUGGACUGACAUGGAAAUUUACAAGGGUAAACUUUGUACAAGAUGAAAGGGUUGCAGAAAUGUAGUGUGCUGGGGUUUACUACUGUAUGGAAUAUAUUAUGUCUUAGUAUAUAAUAUGAUGGUGCAUCUUUCAGAAUACAAAAACACCUCAUAAAUGCUGUCAGUGUGAAGGUCUGAUUAUUAAUCAUUCUUUAACAUCAGUGAAUGCCAGAACCAACUUUGGAGUAAACUAGACAGUCUUGAAGAUAUAAUUAAGCAGCUUUUUUUUUUUUUUUACGUACAACAAGAGUCCCUUGGGUGUUCAUUCGUUUUUGUACACAGUUGCCUUUAAGACACCCACGGGUUGACUUUUUCUCCGUGGAGCCAAUAAUCCCGGAACCGUCAGGCUUUAUUCUAUAAUUCUGAAAGUGUGGCGUUGUGUUAAGUCUGAAGGGUUGCUUGUUUUUGUGUGUCUGUAGACUACUGUACUGUCCCGUCUUCUCAGAGCCACCAGAAGCGCACGUAAACGAUGAGCAUGAUGAAGAAGACGCCGCCGGCCGCCAGCUUGGCAUAUGUGGAUCGCGUGUUCAGAUACUUGGCGUCGCUGCGGUACUUCUUGGACAGGCUGGAUAAGUUGUUGGCCUUGGAGUCCAGCGCUUUGAGGAGGAAAAAGCACAGAUAAAGAGGCAGAGUCAUCAAGUUUGUCCAAAUGCCACACCAAAGUGUUUACUGUACAGUGUUGCCUUGAGAUAGGAGUGACCCAUCUUCAGAGUUUUUGGAGGAAAACGUGUUUCUACCAAUAUCUCCCCUCAUUGUUUUGAUAGUCCUCACACUUCCAAGAAUGGGAGUGGGCUUCCUGGAAUUGUUUUUGUCUGAGCAAAGAUAAAAGUCUUAUGUAUUGAGUAUAGGAACAGAUCACUACCCUUCAACUGUCUCCUUCAUUUCUUGCUCUUUGGCCAUCCUUUUAUCCACGACAUAUCGACAUUGUUGGCGGGGAGGCACAAGCAUCGCAUUUCACUGAUUCUGCCCUGUGCGACGCUGCAAAAAUACAGCUAGAAAAAAGGCACCAAUCGGCGUAGACCAUUUGACUUACCGGACAGCGCCUCUCCUCGCUGCAGCACCUCUUCGAUAUUGGCCACCAUGAUCCUCUGCACAUCCUGCAGCUCCGUGUUGAUGCUGCCCAGGUUCCUGCGGGCGCGGCUGUCAAUAUACGCCUUCUUGGUCUUUUGGAUGUAAGUGUCUGACACACGGGGCCAAUACAGGACAUUCUGUUACUCUUGUGGAAAAUAGUUGUAGCAGGCUCCCUCUAGUGGUAUGGGAAGGGAUCACUGACAUAUAUACACAUAUAUAUAUAUAUAUAUACAGUACAAUUUUAUGUAAC